UACGUAGGUGGCAAGCGUUUGUCCGGAUUUACUGGGCGUAAAGGGCGUGCAGGCGGUUUGUUAAGUGCAGGGUGAAAGCUCCCGGCUCAACUGGGAGAGGUCCUUGCAUACUGGCAAACUCGAGGGAGGCAGAGGAAAGUGGAAUUCCCGGUGUAGAGGUGAAAUUCGUAGAUAUCGGGAGGAACACCAGUGGCGAAGGCGGCGACCUGGGCCAAUAUUGACGCUGAGGUGCGAAAGCGUGGGGAGCAAACAGG
rnacentral:rRNA from 1 species